rnacentral:rRNA from 1 species
GUGAACGCUGGCGGCAGGCCUAACACAUGCAAGUCGAGCGGCAGCGCGGGGGCAACCCUGGCGGCGAGCGGCGGACGGGUGAGGAAUUCGUCGGAAUCUGCCUUUUUGUGGGGGAUAACGUAGGGAAACUUACGCUAAUACCGCAUACGUCCUACGGGAGAAAGUGGGGGACCGCAAGGCCUCACGCAGAAAGAUGAGCCGACGACCGAUUAGCUAGUUGGUGGGGUAAAGGCCCACCAAGGCGACGAUCGGUAGCUGGUCUGAGAGGAUGAUCAGCCACACUGGGACUGAGACACGGCCCAGACUCCUACGGGAGGCAGCAGUGGGGAAUAUUGGACAAUGGGCGCAAGCCUGAUCCAGCCAUGCCGCGUGUGUGAAGAAGGCCUUCGGGUUGUAAAGCACUUUUGUCCGGAAAGAAAUCUCUGGAGCUAAUACCUUCGGGGGAUGACGGUACCGGAAGAAUAAGCACCGGCUAACUUCGUG